rnacentral:rRNA from 1 species
AGAGUUUGAUCCUGGCUCAGGAUGAACGCUAGCGGCAGGCUUAAUACAUGCAAGUCGAGGGGCAGCGCAGUGUAGCAAUACAUGGGCGGCGACCGGCAAACGGGUGCGGAACACGUACGCAACCUACCCAAAACUGGGGGAUAGCCCGCCGAAAGGUGGAUUAAUACCUCGUAACCUCGUGAAGCGGCAUCGCUUUAUGAGUAUAGCUCCGGCGGUUUUGGAUGGGCGUGCGCCUGAUUAGGUAGUUGGCGGGGUAACGGCCCACCAAGCCUGCGAUCAGUAACUGUGUGAGAGCACGACCAGUCACACGGGCACUGAGACACGGGCCCGACUCCUACGGGAGGCAGCAGUAAGGAAUAUUGGUCAAUGGACGCAAGUCUGAACCAGCCAUGCCGCGUGAAGGAUGAAGGUCCUCUGGAUUGUAAACUUCUUUUAUCUGGGACGAAACCCUCGUUUUCUAACGGGAUGACGUACCAGAGAAUUAGCCCCCGC